rnacentral:rRNA from 1 species
GACGAACGCUGGCGGCGUGCUUAACACAUGCAAGUCGAACGGAAAGGCCCUGCUUGCAGGGUACUCGAGUGGCGAACGGGUGAGUAACACGUGGGUGAUCUGCCCUGCACUUCGGGAUAAGCCUGGGAAACUGGGUCUAAUACCGGAUAGGAGCCAUUUUUAGUGUGAUGGUUGGAAAGUUUUUUCGGUGUAGGAUGAGCUCGCGGCCUAUCAGCUUGUUGGUGGGGUAAUGGCCUACCAAGGCGGCGACGGGUAGCCGGCUUGAGAGGGUGGACGGCCACAUUGGGACUGAGAUACGGCCCAGACUCCUACGGGAGGCAGCAGUGGGGAAUAUUGCACAAUGGGCGCAAGCCUGAUGCAGCGACGCCGCGUGGGGGAUGACGGCCUUCGGGUUGUAAACUCCUUUCGCUAGGGACGAAGCUUUUGUGACGGUACCUAGAUAAGAAGCACCGGCUAACUACGUG